rnacentral:sRNA from 1 species
GCUCUCAUAAAUAUUCAUAAUUGAGCCUACGUCCUGACCAAAAUAAUCGAACG